rnacentral:rRNA from 1 species
AUUGAACGCUGGCGGCAUGCCUUACACAUGCAAGUCGAACGGCAGCACGGGUGCUUGCACCUGGUGGCGAGUGGCGAACGGGUGAGUAAUAUAUCGGAACGUACCUUAUCGUGGGGGAUAACGCAGCGAAAGCUGUGCUAAUACCGCAUAAGCCCUACGGGGGAAAGCAGGGGCCCGUAAGGCCUUGCGCGAUUUGAUCGGUCGAUACCUGGUUAGCUAGUUGGUGAGGUAAAGGCUCACCAAGGCAGCGAUCAGUAGCUGGUCUGAGAGGACGAUCAGCCACACUGGGACUGAGACACGGCCCAGACUCCUACGGGAGGCAGCAGUGGGGAAUUUUGGACAAUGGGGGGCAACCCUGAUCCAGCAAUGCCGCGUGAGUGAAGAAGGCCUUCGGGUUGUAAAGCUCUUUUGUCAGGGAAGAAACAGCAGCUCUAAUACAGUAUGCGAAUGACGGUACCUGAAGAAUAAGCACCGGCUAACUACGUGCCAGCCGCCGCAGUAA